rnacentral:lncRNA from 1 species
GGCACAAUGGGUCAGUGGCACAAUGGGUCAAUGUGAGGCACAAAUGGGGUUCAGAUGUGGGCACAAUGGGGUCAAUGUGGGGCACAAUGGGGUCAAUGUGGGGCACAAUGGGGUCAGUGGGGCACAAUGGGGUCAGAUGUGGGGCACAAUGGGGUCAGAUGUGGGGCACAAUGGGGUCAGAUGUGGGGCACAAUGGGGUCAAUGUGGGGCACAAUGGGGUCAGAUGUGGGGCACAAUGGGGUCAGUGGGGCACAGUGGGGUCAAUGUGGGGCACAAUGGGGUCAGAUGUGGGCACAAUGGGGUCACGUGGGCACGUGGGAUCAGAUGUGGGGCACAUGGUCAAUUGGGGCAACAAUGGGUCAAUGUGGGGCACAAUGGGGUCAGUGGGGCACAAUGGGGGUCAAUGUGGGGGCACAAUGGGGUCAGUGGGGCACAAUGGGGUCAGAUGUGGGGCACAAUGGGGUCAAUGUGGGGCACAAUGGGGUCAGAUGUGGGGCACAAUGGGGUCAAUGUGGGGCACAAUGGGGUCAAUGUGGGGGCACAGUGGGGUCAGAUGUGGGGCACAAUGGGGUCCAAUUGUCGGGCACAAUGGGUCAAUGUGGGCACAAUGGGUCAAUGUGGGGCACAUGGGUCAAUGGGGGCAACCACG